GAUAUUAGGUAGCCUCUGCUCCAUGAUUUAAAUAGCCGCAGUAUUUUGACUGUGCUAAGGUAGCAUAAUAAUUUGUCUUUUAAUUGAAGGCUAGAAUGAAAGAGUUGACAACGCCCACCCUUUCUUGGCCUAUUAGGGGAAUUUAAUAUUUGCCUCAAAAAGUGCAACUUGCUGGGGGGACGAUAAGACCCUAUGAAACUUUGAUUUAUUUAAUUUUAAUGUAUUUGGGAAGUUUGUUAAGGUUUGUUAAAUUAAGCUGGGGCGGCCGUUAGAAUACACUAACAUAGAUAACAAUAUUGUUGAGUAUAAGGAUCUUGCUAAGAUAUAGAACAAGUUACUUUAGGGAUAACAGCACAAUUUUUUUGUAUAGGUCGUAUAGAAUAAAAAGACUUGUGACCUCGAUGUUGAAUUGGGGGGCCCCGCUAGAGCAGAAACUAGUGAGGGGGGUCUGUUCGACCUUUAUACCCCC
rnacentral:rRNA from 1 species